UCCCCCAUGGCGCAAUUGGCAGCGCGUCAGACUGUUAUCUCUUCCAAGAGGCACAUCUGGAGGCUGUAAGUUCGAACCUUACUGUGGAGAU